rnacentral:rRNA from 1 species
CCUACGGGAGGCAGCAGUAGGGAAUCUUCCGCAAUGGACGAAAGUCUGACGGAGCAACGCCGCGUGAGUGAAGAAGGUCUUCGGAUCGUAAAGCUCUGUUGUUAGGGAAGAACAAGUAUCGGAGGAAAUGCCGGUACCUUGACGGUACCUGACGAGAGAGCCACGGCUAACUACGUGCCAGCAGCCGCGGUAAU